UUAGGGGCCGGCGGGAUCAUGUGAGGGGGCGGUUUUGGCCGCUUCCCCCGGGCGGGGGGGGGGGGAGCUCGCCUCCUGCUGCAGCCCAGGCUCGAUGCCGCCAGAGCCGGGUUCGUUCUCCCGGCGGCCCGGACCGCGGGCUGCCUGCCCUGGCCCGAGCGGGAGGCGCACCACGCCGGGGUGCUGCUGGCAGCCUCAGCUAGUCCCAUUGGGUCGUGCCAGAGUUCCCACGCGGGGUGAUGCCAAUACCAAGUUUGUGGGGGAAGACGACUUCCAUACCCAUCAGAUGAAUUAUUCAGCAAGAGUCACAGUGAGACCAAGCACACAGGCCCCUGCUUCAGAGCCUGCAACCCAAACUUGUUUCCAUCCCUUUGUCUGAUGACCUUUCAACAUUGAAGUCAGAUCUGUUUUCACAACUUAGACAGACACCAGGAUUCUGUUAAUUACACACUCAGGAGAGAAUAGCUUGUUGUCGCCUAUGGAUGUAGGCAGCUGUGAACUGAUAAACAAAACCCAUGGCAGGAAUCUUAGCAGGAAUAUUGCUACCUAAAAAAUAUGACUGUGCUUCAUUAAUGAACUGAGCCCUUUUUUAGAUAAAAAGCUACAGCUUUUGAUGAUGACUAGUGGAGCUAUUCCCUAUAGGUCAAUGCAGUGCCUGGCAUACAUGUCUGAACUUGCCCGACAGCCUUUCUGGACAUAAAGGUCAUUCAUCCUCAAGGCAGAAACAACCAGUAGCACUGCCUCCCAGAACAACCCGAAGCACACACAGGCACACUGGUGCCUGCGUAAUGUUUGACUGAAGGAUUGAAGGAGGAUUUCAAGCAUGAGUACAAGAAUUUUCUUCUGACUCUAUGACUAGUGUAUGUCACAGUACAUAGUGGAGUAGCAGCAACACCAUCUGUCCAUGUGGUGAUAUUCCUAGGGCCUGAUUAACUGCAGUGCCAAUAAACAUCCUUGGGAAAAGGGACCAGAGCACACUAUGGAUCUUCGCAUGCCCAUGUGGGGGAUGUGACUCUCAAUAAGGCUCUAAUGCAGAGAUGCUUUUAGAAAAGUGAGAUAAGUACCAUUUGUUUUAUGGCACUGUAAACUCUGAGGGGAAUCCUACCACUGGGAGGGCCUGGGACAUGAUCUUGUACAUUACUACUACUCAAGAUACUACAAGAGGGAUGUUGUCACAGUUAUUUCAGCUGAAGAAAAGAGAUGAACUAUGGCUUUUGUUUAAGAAAAACCUGUACAGAAAUGGCAGCAAAUAACAUUAUUCAGUAAUUACCCAUUAGUCAAGAAGAAUAUGUGUUUGUAAAUAUGACCUCUGUAAUAUUAUCAGGGUCAGACAGACCAAGGGCAAUCGGCUGUGUAAGUGUAUAAAUCAAAGCUGUCUAGGGAUUGAUGAUUUAAUUUACAAUGUUCUUCAACAUUCUGGACAAAACAAAUGUCACUCGCUUGCUUAAGUCCUGUGCUCCUCCCCUUUUUCCACUUUCUCCCUCCCUCCAUUUUUGAUAACACUUCUUGACCUUCUACUUCUUGAAAGCCAUGGAUUUCCACCAAGAGACAGCCAGUUAGGCCAACUUGUUUGAAUUAUCCUAACACCCCAACAAGUAAGAUUACAAUAGAGCCGUGACUGUAUUCACUUGCUGGUUACCUGGCUUUCUUAGCACAGUUCAAGAGUAAAGCAAUAAGUACUGGAAUGUAUGUAGUUCUUUUAUAUUAAGUACCUAAAUCUGCGAAAAGCAUCUGUUGAAACUGUUAGAUUCUGGGCACUGAUUCUGCUAAAUCACAUGUUUCCCAUUGUGGAAGGAAAAGAGCUUUUGCAAUAACAUGUAGAAUACAUGGAAUAAGUCUUCUCUUUCUUUCUGUGCUCUUUGGCAGUUUGACUGGCUGAGUCAAAGCAAGUUCUGUUCCUUUAUCUUUUUUUCAAAAUAUGCCAUAAUCUCCAAACUGAAACCGAGUAGGAUUUGAAUAAAAUGUUCUCAUUCAAGUAAUAAUUGAAUUAAUAAUCACACUCUAAGCAACAGAUUGUGAUCCUGAAGCCUGGUUUUUUAAAAUUGUCCAUUGGUGCCUUUUAUUUCUAGCGACCAUUUUGUGACUUUUCUGCAGGUGUGGCCACUGAGCUGCCUCAGGGCAAGGCCAAACCUGCCAAACAAAAGAAACUUCAUGUUGUGGAUGUUAACUUUAGUUACCAUAGCCAGACAAUGCUGCCAGUGGUAUGGAAGACAAAAUUGCUGUAGCCAGCUGUGCUGUUCACAGUCGGAUGGUUUCUGUGUAGCUCCAAAUGGUUAUGAAGCCAGUAGCCUGUUGUGGCCAAGGACAGAAUGAUGGAUGAUCUACACACAGUGCCCAAGUUGAAAGAAUGGCAGAAGUUCACUUCAGGGUUGUUAAAAUGCUAAUCUAGGUUAGUUAACAAAAGCCUAAUGGAACAGAAAAGUUAGGGGAAAUAAACACACCUCAUAUGUUACAUAUGUACACUCCAGAUUUGAUCUCUCUAGUUAGACAAACAUUUGCCUUUGGAAGUUAGACAAUUUAACAGUUUUCUUGUUUGAAUAAACUGAAUCAACUUUUGUUAUUAGCUGUACUAUAAUUACUGUCAAGGCAUGACAAGGGAAAGUGGACUAAGGCAGACAAUACACACAGCUACUGAAAACAGCAUCAUAAGGCUAGCAAUAUGACUUUCACUGAACAUUUCUUUCAUGUGACAUGAGAACUUGAACUUGAAGCUGGCAGCUAUUCACAGAACAAGUAACAACUUAAUAAAAUGGCUUAGACGGAUUUUAACUGUAACGGCAGCAAGCUUAUCUGAUGCAUAAAAAGAGAUAAUCCGUUCUAACAGCAGUUUUGAUUAGAUCAACAUUUGCACCAUUUUAAUUACGUAUAGGACUGCUUGUAUUACCCAAUGCAAAUAUUAUGCCUUCCAUCUUUUCCUUAACUGUUCCUGGGACAAAUUUUUAAUUUCUCCAAUAGCAGGAUAUAUGUUUACAUUUCUUACUGGAAUUAUAGUAUGUGAUCACCUUCUUAUUUUCUUAUUUAGUUGCUAAGCAAGAAAUAGGGCAGCCUCCCUCCAUCUCCUGUAUUUAUUAAUCAAAGCAAAAAAACAAAAAUGUUUGUUGGAAAAUAUUA